rnacentral:rRNA from 1 species
UACGUAGGUGGCAAGCGUUGUCCGGAUUUAUUGGGCUUAAAGGGUGCGUAGGCGGCUUUGUAAGUCAGUGGUGAAAUACUCCAGCUCAACUGGAGAGGUGCCAUUGAUACUGCAGAGCUAGAGUACUGAUGAGGUAGGCGGAAUGGACGGUGUAGCGGUGAAAUGCUUAGAUAUCGUCCAGAACACCGAUAGCGAAGGCAGCUUACUAAAGAGUAACUGACGCUGAGGCACGAAAGUGUGGGGAGCAAACAGG